rnacentral:lncRNA from 1 species
AUGGAUUCAGCAACUUGACAGCCAGGAGUAUGAGUUUGGAGUGGGGAUGAAGAAGGUUGCAGACAAAUCAGUGGUGUGCCAUAAGAUGAACUACCCAUAUGCUGUUUUCUACUGCCAUACCUUCACUAAGACACGGACUUACAUGAUUCCAUUGGUGGGUGUUGAUGGAAGCAAAUCUAAAGCCAUGGCAGCUUGUCACAGUGAUACAUCAGCUUGGCACCCACAGCAUGUGGCCUUCCAAGUGCUCAAAAUUAAGCCAGGAACGGUCCCAGUCUGCCAUUUCCUUCACAACAAUGCCAUGGUCUGGAUUCCAAAGUAAGAAUCAGCCUCAAGCCUCAAGCCCAGUUGCAUUAUCAGUUCCAUCUUAAAGCUGUUUGUAGUAUGAAUGGUUAGAAUAAAAAAUUAAAUAAAAAAAAACUUUAUUAAAUAAAUAAACUUUAGUUAUUUUAUUUUUAAUUAUAUUAAUUUAUUAAUUAAAAUAUAGACGCCCGGUUUCAUCAUAUUAAAAUAUAUUGGUAUGAUAUUUUAUUAAUAAGGCCACUAAUUUUAUAAAUUAAAUAUGAUGAACAACAUUUUGAGAAUCAAAGAUGUGCCUCCAUUUGGAAAUUUCACACGAGAUUUUGGGCAUGUCACCUAUUUUAUUCCCAAAGGGUUGACUAAGAAAAACAGUAGAGCAUGUCACCUAAUCACACGAGCUUAGUGAUUUCGGGACCCUCUUCUGACAAUAAAUGAGCCACUAUUUCAUUUAAAAACCCAUAACAAAGUGAUUUUGGCCCGAUCCCCACUUCGGUUCACACAUUGGAACCCUUGGUACAUCCGUUACAAAAUUUGGUACAUCCUUCACAAAAUUUGGUACAUCCUUCAAAAAAUUUAGUACAUCCUUCAUUAAAUUUGGUACAUCCGAUCUGACAGAUUCCGAGGCCCCCAUUUCAACAUGGAUGGUCCAUAAUUACUUUUAGAAACCCAUAACAAAGUGAUUUUGGACCGAUCCCCACUUUGGUUCACACAUUGGAACCCUUGGUACAUCAUUUACAAAAUUUGGUACAUCCUUCACAAAAUUUGGUACAUCCUUUACAAAAUUUAGUACACCCUUCAUUAAAUUUGGUACAUCCGAUCUGACAGAUUCCGAGGCCCCCAUUUCAACAUGGAUAGUCCAUAAUUACUUUUAGAAACCCAUAACAAAGUGAUUUGGGGCCGAUCCCAACUUCGCAACGCAUUUUUAGACCCUUCGUACAUCCUUAACAAACUUUGGUACAUCUGAGUUUAGUGAUUCCGAGGCCCUAUUCUGACCAUGGAUGAGCCACUAUUUCAUUUAAAAACCCAUAACAAAGUGAUUUGGGCCCGAUCCCCACUUCGGUUCACACUUUGGAACCCUUGGUACAUCCUUUAUAAAUUUGGUACAUCCUUAAAAAAAUUUGGUACAUCCUUCAUUAAAUUUGGUACAUCUGAUCUGACAGAUUCCGAGACCCUCAUUUCAAAAUGGAUGGUCCAUAAUUGCUUUUAGAAACCCAUAACAAUGUGAUUUGGGGCCGAUCCCCACUUCGGAACGCAUUUUUAGACCCUUCGUACAUCCUUAACAAAAUUUGGUACAUCCGAGCUUAGUGAUUCCGGGACCCUCUUCUGACCAUGGAUGAGCCACUAUUUCAUUUAAAAACCCAUAACAAAGUGAUUUGGGCCCGAUCCCCAUUUCGGUUCACACUUUGGAACCCUUGGUACAUCCUUUAUAUAUUUGGUACAUCCUUCAAAAAAUUUGGUACAUCCUUCAUUAAAUUUGGUACAUCUGAUCUGACAGAUUCCGAGACCCUCAUUUCAAAAUGGAUGGUCCAUAAUUGCUUUUAGAAACCCAUAACAAUGUGAUUUGGGGCCGAUCCCCACUUCGGAACGCAUUUUUAGACCCUUCGUACAUCCUUAACAAAAUUUGGUACAUCCGAGCUUAGUGAUUGCGGGACCCUAUUCUGACCAUGGAUGAGCCAUUAUUUCAUUUAAAAACCCAUAACAAAGUGAUUUGGGCCCGAUCCCCACUUCGGUUCACACAUUGGAACCCUUGGUACAUCCUUUACAAAAUUUGGUACAUCCUUCACAAAAUUUGGUACAUCCUUCACAAAAUUUGAUACAUCCUUCAUUAAAUUUGGUACAUCCGAUCCGACAGAUUCUGAGGCCCCCAUUUUAACAUGGAUGGUCCAUAAUUACUUUUAGAAACCCAUAACAAAGUGAUUUGGGGCCGAUCCCCAAUUCGGAACGCAUUUUUAGACCCUUGGUACAUCCUUAACAAAAUUUGGUACAUCCGAGCUUAGUGAUUCCGGGACCCUCUUCUGACCAUGGAUGAGCCACUAUUUCAUUUAAAAACCCAUAACAAAGUGAUUUGGGCCCGAUCCCCACUUCGGUUCACACUUUGGAACCCUUGGUACAUCCUUUACAAAAUUUGGUACAUCCUUCACAAAAUUUGGUACAUCCUUCAUUAAAUUUGGUACAUCUGAUCCGACAGAUUCCGAGACCCCCAUUUCAAAAUGGAUGGUCCAUAAUUUCUUUUAGAAGCCCAUAAAAAAGUGAUUUGGGGCCGAUCCCCACUUCGGAACGCAUUUUUAGACCCUUCGUAUAUCCUUAACAAAAUUUGGUACAUCCGAGCUUAGUGAUUCCGGGACCCUCUUCUGACCAUGGAUGAGCCACUAUUUCAUUUAAAAACCCAUAACAAAGUGAUUUGGGCCCGAUCUCCACUUCGGUUCACACAUUGGAAUUACAAAAUUUGGCACAUCCUUCACAGAAUUAGGCACAUCCUUCACAAAAUUAGGUACAUCCUUCAUUAGAUUUGGUACAUCCGAUCCGACAGAUUCUGAGGCCCCCAUUUUAACGGUCCAUAAUUACUUUUAGAAACCCAUACCAAAGUGAUUUNNNNNNNNNNNNNNNNNNNNNNNNNNNNNNNNNNNNNNNNNNNNNNNNNNNNNNNNNNNNNNNNNNNNNNNNNNNNNNNNNNNNNNNNNNNNNNNNNNNNAUUCCGGGACCCUCUUCUGACCAUGGAUGAGCCACUAUUUCAUUUAAAAACCCAUAACAAAGUGAUUUGGGCCCGAUCUCCACUUCGGUUCACACAUUGGAAUUACAAAAUUUGGUACAUCCUUCACAAAAUUUGGUACAUCCUUCACAAAAUUUGGUACAUCCUUCAUUAAAUUUGGUACAUCCGAUCCGAAAGAUUCUGAGGCCCCCAUUUUAACAUGGAUGGUCCAUAAUUACUUUUAGAAACCCAUAACAAAGUGAUUUGGGGCCGAUCCCCAAUUCGGAACGCAUUUUUAGACCCUUGGUACAUCCUUAACAAAAUUUGGUACAUCCGAGCUUAGUGAUUCCAGGACCCUCUUCUGACCAUGGAUGAGCCACUAUUUCAUUUAAAAACCCAUAACAAAGUGAUUUGGGCCCGAUCCCCACUUCGGUUCACACUUUGGAACCCUUGGUACAUCCUUUACAAAAUUUGGUACAUCCUUCACAAAAUUUGGUACAUCCUUCAUUAAAUUUGGUACAUCUGAUCCGACAGAUUCCGAGACCCCCAUUUCAAAAUGGAUGGUCCAUAAUUGCUUUUAGAAGCCCAUAAAAAAGUGAUUUGGGGCCGAUCCCCACUUCGGAACGCAUUUUUAGACCCUUCGUAUAUCCUUAACAAAAUUUGGUACAUCCGAGCUUAGUGAUUCCGGGACCCUCUUCUGACCAUGGAUUAGCCACUAUUUCAUUUAAAAACCCAUAACAAAGUGAUUUGGGCCCGAUCUCCACUUCGGUUCACACAUUGGAAUUACAAAAUUUGGUACAUCCUUCACAAAAUUUGGUACAUCCUUCACAAAAUUUGGUACAUCCUUCAUUAAAUUUGGUACAUCCGAUCCGACAGAUUCUGAGGCCCCCAUUUUAACAUGGAUGGUCCAUAAUUACUUUUAGAAACCCAUAACAAAGUGAUUUGGGGCCGAUCCCCAAUUCGGAACGCAUUUUUAGACCCUUGGUACAUCCUUAACAAAAUUUGGUACAUCCCAGCUUAGUGAUUCCGGGACCCUCUUCUGACCAUGGAUGAGCCACUAUUUCAUUUAAAAACCCAUAACAAAGUGAUUUGGGCCCGAUCCCCACUUCGGUUCACACUUUGGAACCCUUGGUACAUCCUUUACAAAAUUUGGUACAUUCUUCACAAAAUUUGGUACAUCCUUCAUUAAAUUUGGUAUAUCCGAUCCGACAGAUUCCAAGACUCCCAUUUCAACAUGGAUGGUCCAUAAUUGCUUUUAGAAACCCUUAACAAAGUGAUUUAGGGCCGAUCCCCACUUCGCAACGCAUUUUUAGACCCUUCGUACAUCCUUAACAAAAUUUGGUAUAUCCGAGCUUAGUGAUUCCGGGACCCUCUUCUGCCCAUGGAUGAGCCACUAUUUCAUUUGAAAACCCAUAACAAAGUGAUUUGGGCCCGAUCCCCACUUCGGUUCACACUUUGGAACCCUUGGUACAUCCUUUACAAAAUUUGGUAAAGCCUUCACAAAAUUUGGUACAUCCUUCAUUAAAUUUGGUACAUCCGAUCCAACAGAUUCCGAGACCCCCAUUUCAACAUUGAUGGUCCAUAAUUUAUUUUAGAAACCCAUAACAAAGUGAUUGGGAGUCGAUCCUCACUUAGAAAUGCAUUUUCAGACUCUCGGUACAUUCUUCACAAAAGUUGGUACAUUCUUCAUUAAAUUUGGUGCAUCCGAGCCUAGUGAUUUCGGGACCCCCUUUUGACCAUGGGUGAGCCACUAUUUCAUUUAGAAACCCAUAACAAAGUGAUUUGGGGCUGAUCCCCACUUCGGUUCGCACUUUGGAACUCUUGGUACAUCCUUAACAAAAUUUGGUACAUUUUUAAUUAAAUUUGGUACAUCCUUCAUUAAAUAUGGUACAUCGGAUCCGAUAGAUUCCGAGACCCCCAUUUCAACAUGGAUGGACCAUAAUUGCUUUUAGAAACCCAUAACAAAAUGAUUGGGUGUCGAUCCCCACUUCGUGACUCAUUUUUGGACCUUUAGUACAUCUUUCAUUAAAUUUGGUGCAUCGGAGCUUAAUGAUUCUGGGACCUUCUUCUGACCAUGGAUGAGCCACUAUUUCAUUUAAAAACCCAUAACAAAGUGAUUUGGGUCUGAUCCCCACUUCGGUUCACACUUUGGAACCCUUGGUACAUCCUUUACAAAAUUUGGUAAAUCCUUCACAAAAUUUGGUACAUCCUUCAUUAAAUUUGGUACAUCCGAUCCGACAGAUUCCGAGACCACCAUUUCAAUAUGGAUGGUCCAUAAUUUCUUUUAGAAACCCAUAACAAAGUGAUUUGGGACCGAUCCCCACUUCACAACGCAUUUUUGGACCCUUCGUACAUCCUUAACAAAAUUUGGUACAUCCGAGCUUAGUGAUUCCGGGACCCUCUUCUGCCCAUGGAUGAGCCACUAUUUCAUUUAAAAACCCAUAACAAAGUGAUUUGGGCUCGAUCCGCACUUCGGUUCACACUUUGGAACCCUUGGUACAUCGUUAAGAAAAUUUGGUACAUCCUUCACAAAAUUUGGUACAUCCUUCAUUAAAUUUGGUACAUCCGAUCCGACAGAUUCCGAGACCCCAUUUCAACAUGGAUGGUCCAUAAUUUCUUUUAGAAACCCAUAACAAAGUGAUUGGGAGUCGAUCCUCACUUCGAAAUGCAUUUUCGAACCCUCGGUACAUUCUUCAGAAAAUUUGGUACAUCCUUCAUUAAAUUUGGUACAUCCGAGCCUAGUGAUUUAGGGGACCCCCUUUUGACAAUGGAUGUGCCACUAUUUCAUUUAUAAACCCAUAACAAAGUGAUUUGGAGCCGAUCCCCACUUCGGAUCGCACUUUGGAACCCUUGGUACAUCCUUAACAAAAUUUGGUACAUUCUUAAUUAAAUUUGGUACAUCCUUCAUUAAAUUUGGUACAUCUGAUCCGAUAGAUUCCGAGACCCCCAUUUCAACAUGGAUGGUCCAUAUUUGCUUUUGGAAACCCAUAACAAAGUAAUUCGGGGUCCAUCCCCACUUCGUGACUCAUUUUCGGACCCUUAGUACAUCCUUCAUUAAAUUUGGUACAUCCGAGCUUAGUAAUUUCGGAACCCUCUUCUGACCAUGGAUGAGCCACUAUUUCAUUUAAAAACCCAUAACAAAGUGAUUUGGGUCUGAUCCCCACUUCGGUUCACACUUUGGAACCCUUGGUACAUCCUUUACAAUAUUUGGUACAUCCUUCAGAAAAUUUGGUACAUCCUUCACAAAAUUUGGUACAUCCUUCAUUAAAUUUGGUACAUCCGAUCCGAAAGAUUCCGAGGCCCCCAUUUCAACAUGGAUGGUCCAUAAUUACUUUUAGAAACCCAUAAACAAGUGAUUUGGGGCCGAUCCCCAAUUCGGAACGCAUUUUUAGACCCUUCGUACAUUCUUAACAAAAUUUGGUACAUACGAGCUUAGUGAUUCCGGGACCCUCUUCUGACCAUGGAUGAGCCACUAUUUCAUUUUAAAACCCAUAACAAAGUGAUUUGUCCCCGAUCCCCACUUCGAAUCACACUUUGGAACCCUUGGUACAUCAUUUACAAAAUUUGGUACAUCAUUCACAAAAUUUGGUACACCCUUCAUUAAAUUUGGUAUAUCCAAUCCGAUAGAUUCCGAGAGCCCCAUUUCAACAUGUAUGGUCCAUAAUUGCUUUUAGAAACCCAUAACAAACUAAUUUGGGGCCGAUCCCCACUUAAGAAACCAUUUGUAGACCCUUCGUACAUCCAUAACAAAAUUUGGUACAUCCGAGCUUAGUGAUUCCAGGACCCUCUUCUGACCAUGGAUGAGCCACUAUUUCAUUUAAAAACCCAUAAUAAAGUGAUUUGGGCCCGAUCCCCACUUCGAUUAACACUUUGGAACCCGUGGUACAUCCUUAACAAAAUUUGGUACAUCCUUCACAAAAUUUGGUACAUCCUUCAUUAAAUUUGGUACAUCCGAUCCAACAGAUUCCGAGACCCCCAUUUCAACAUGGAUGGUCCAUAAUUUCUUUUAGAAACCCAUAACAAAGUGAUUGGGAGUCGAUCCUCACUUCGAAAUGCAUUUUUGGAUCCUCGGUACAUUCUUCACAAAAUUUGGUACAUCCUUCAUUAAAUUUGGUACAUCCGAGCCUAGUGAUUUCGGGACACCCUUUUGACCAUGGGUGAGCCACUAUUUCAUUUAGAAACCCAUAACAAAGUGAUUUGGGGCCGAUCCCCACUUUGGAUCGCACUUUGGAACCCUUGGUAGAUCCUUAACAAAAUUUGGUACAUUCUUAAUUAAAUUUGGUACAUCCUUCAUUAAAUAUGGUACAUCUGAUCCGAUAGAUUCCGAGACCCCCAUUUCAACAUGGAUGGUCCAUAAUUUCUUUUAGAAACCCAUAACAAAGUGAUUGGGUGUCGAUCCCCACUUCGUGACUCAUUUUUGGACCCUUAGUACAUCUUUAAUUAAAUUUCGUACAUCCGAGCUUAGUGAUUCCGGGACCUUCUUCUGACCAUGGAUGAGCCACUAUAUCAUUUAAAAACCUAUAACAAAGUGAUUUGGGCCCGAUCCCCACUUCGGUUCACACUUUAGAACCCUUGGCACAUCCUUUACAAAAUUUGGUACAUCCUUCAGAAAAUUUGGUACAUUCUUCAUUAAAUUUGGUACAUCCGAUCCGACAGAUUCCGAGACCCCCAUUUCAACAUGGAUGGUCCAUAAUUGCUUUUAGAAACCCAUAACAAAGUGAUUUGGGCCCGAUCCCCACUUCGGUUCACACUUUGGAACCCUUGGUACAUCCUUUACAAAAUUUGGUACAUCCUUCACAAAAUUUGGUACAUCCUUCAUUAAAUUUGGUACAUCCGAUACGACAAAUUGCGAGACCCCCAUUUCAACAUGGAUGGUCCAUAAUUGCUUUUAGAAACCCAUUACAAAGUGAUUAUGGGCCGAUCCCCACUUCGGAACGCAUUUUUAGACCCUUCGUACAUCUUUAACAAAAUUUGGUACAUCCCAGCUUAGUGAUUCCGGGACCCUCUUCUGACCAUGGAUGAGCCACUAUUUCAUUUAAAAACCCAUAACAAAGUGAUUUGGGCCCGAUCCUUACUUCGGUUCACACUUUGGAACCCUUGGUACAUCCUUUACAAAAUUUGGUACAUCCUUCACAAAAUUUGGUACAUCCUUCAUUAAAUUUGGUACAUCCGAUCCAACAGAUUCCGAGACCCCCAUUUCAACAUGGAUGGUCCAUAAUUUAUUUUAGAAACCCAUAACAAAGUGAUUGGGAGUCGAUCCUCACUUAGAAAUGCAUUUUCAGACUCUCGGUACAUUCUUCACAAAAGUUGGUACAUUCUUCAUUAAAUUUGGUGCAUCCGAGCCUAGUGAUUUCGGGACCCCCUUUUGACCAUGGGUGAGCCACUAUUUCAUUUAGAAACCCAUAACAAAGUGAUUUGGGGCUGAUCCCCACUUCGGUUCGCACUUUGGAACUCUUGGUACAUCCUUAACAAAAUUUGGUACAUUUUUAAUUAAAUUUGGUACAUCCUUCAUUAAAUAUGGUACAUCGGAUCCGAUAGAUUCCGAGACCCCCAUUUCAACAUGGAUGGACCAUAAUUGCUUUUAGAAACCCAUAACAAAAUGAUUGGGUGUCGAUCCCCACUUCGUGACUCAUUUUUGGACCUUUAGUACAUCUUUCAUUAAAUUUGGUGCAUCGGAGCUUAAUGAUUCUGGGACCUUCUUCUGACCAUGGAUGAGCCACUAUUUCAUUUAAAAACCCAUAACAAAGUGAUUUGGGUCUGAUCCCCACUUCGGUUCACACUUUGGAACCCUUGGUACAUCCUUUACAAAAUUUGGUAUAUGCUUCACAAAAUUUGGUACAUCCUUCAUUAAAUUUGGUACAUCCGAUCCGACAGAUUCCGAGACCCCCAUUUCAACAUGGAUGGUCCAUAAUUGCAUUUAGAAACCCAUAACAAAGUGAUUUGGGGACGAUCCUCACUUCGGAACGCAUUUUUAGACCUUUCGUACAUCCUUAAUAAAAUUUGGUACAUCCGAGAUUAGUGAUUCCGAGACCCUCUUCUGACCAUGGAUGAGCCACUAUUUCAUUUAAAACCCCAUAAUAAAGUGAUUUGGGACCGAUCCCCACUUUGGAACCCUUGGUACAUCCUUAACAACAUUUGGUACACACUUCACAAAAUUUGGUACAUCCUUAAUUAAAUUUGGUACAUCCGAUCCAACAGAUUCCGAGACCCCCAUUUCAACAUGGAUGGUCCAUAAUUUCUUUUAGAAACCCAUAACAAAGUGAUUGGGAGUCGAUCCUCACUUCGAAAUGCAUUUUCGGACCCUCGGUACAUUCUUCACAACAUUUGGUACAUCCUUCAUUAAAUUUGGUACAUCCGAGCCUAGUGAUUUCGGGACCCCCUUUUGACCAUGGGCGAGCCACUAUUUCAUUUAGAAACCCAUAACAAAGUUAUUUGGGGCCAAUCCCCACUUUGGUUCGCAUUUUGGAACCCUUGGUACAUCCAUAACAAAAUUUGGUACAUUCUUAAUUAAAUUUGGUACAUCCUUCAUUAAAUUUGGUACAUCCGAUCCAACAGAUUUUGAGACCCCCAUUUCAACAUGGAUGGUCCAUCAUUGCUUUUAGAAACCCAUAACAAAGUUAUGUGGGCCCGAUCCCCACUUCGGAUCGCACUUUGGAACCAUUGGUACAUCCUUCACAAAAUUUGGUACAUCCUUAAUUAAAUUUGGUACAUCCUUCUUUAAAUUUGGUACAUGCGAUCCGAUGUAUUCCGACACGCCCAUUUCAACAUGGAUGGUCCAUAAUUGCUUUUAGAAACCCAUAACAAAGUGAUUUGGGGCUGAUCCCCACUUCUGAACGCAUUUUUAGACCCUUGGUACGUCCUUAACAACAUUUGGUACAUCCGAGCUUAGUGAUUCCGGGACCCUCUUCUGACCAUGGAUGAGCCACUAUUUGAUUUAAAAACCCAUAACAAAGUGAUUUGGGUCGGAUCCCCACUUCGGUUUACACUUUGGAACCAUUGGUACAUCAUUUAAAAAAUUUGGUACAUCAUUCACAAAAUUUGGUACAUCCUUCAUUAAAUUUGGUACAUCCGAUCCGACAGAUUCUGAGACCCCACUUUCAACAUGGAUGGUCCAUAAUUGCUUUUAGAAACCCAUAACAAAGUGAUUUAGGGCCGAUCCCCACUUCGGAACGCAUUUUUCGACCCUUUGUACAUCCUUAAUAAAAUUUGGUACAUCCGAGCUUAGUGAUUCGGGGACCCUCUUCUGACCAUGGAUGAACCACUAUUUCAUUUAAAAACCCAUAAUAAAGUGAUUAUGGCCCGAUCCCCACUUCGGUUCACACUUUGGAACCCUUGGUACAUCCUUAACAAAAUUUGGUACAUCCUUGACAAAAUUUGGUACAUCCUUCAUUAAAUUUGGUACAUCCGAUCCAACAGAUUCCGAGACCCCCAUUUCAACAUGGAUGGUCCAUAAUUUCUUUUAGAAACCCAUAACAAAGUGAUUGGGAGUCGAUCCUCACUUCGAAAUGCAUUUUCGGACCCUCGGUACAUUCUUCACAAAAUUUGGUACAUCCUUCAUUAAAUUUGGUACAUCCGAGCCUAGUGAUUUCGGGACACCCUUUUGACCAUGGGUGAGCCACUAUUUCAUUUAGAAACCCAUAACAAAGUGAUUUGGGGCUGAUCCCCACUUUGGAACGCACUUUUAAACCCUUGGUACAUCCUUAACAAAAUUUGGUACAUNNNNNNNNNNNNNNNNNNNNNNNNNNNNNNNNNNNNNNNNNNNNNNNNNNNNNNNNNNNNNNNNNNNNNNNNNNNNNNNNNNNNNNNNNNNNNNNNNNNNACAAAAUUUGGUACAUCCUUCACAAAAUUUGGUACAUCCAUCAUUAAAUUUGGUACAUCCGAUCCGACAGAUUCUGAGACCCCCAUUUCAACAUGGAUGGUCCAUAAUUGCUUUUAGAAACCCAUUACAGAGUGAUUUGGGGCCGAUCCCCACUUCGGAACGCAUUUUUAGACCCUUCGUACAUCUUUAACAAAAUUUGGUACAUCCCAGGUUAGUAAUUCCGGGACCCUCUUCUGACCAUGGAUGAGCCACUAUUUCAUUUAAAAACCCAUAACAAAGUGAUUUGGGCCCGAUCCUCACUUUGGUUCACACUUUGGAACCCUUGGUACAUCCUUUACAAAAUUUGGUACAUCCUUCAUAAAAUUUGGUACAUCCUUCAUUAAAUUUGGGACAUCCGAUCCGACAGAUUCUGAGACCCCCAUUUCAACAUGGAUGGUCCAUAAUUGCUUUUAGAAACCCAUAACAAAGUGAUUUGGGGCCGAUCCCCACUUCGGAACGCAUUUUUAGACCCUUCGUACAUCCUUAAUAAAAUUUGGUGCAUUCGAGCUUAGUGAUUCCGGGACCCUCUUCUGACCAUGGAUGAGCCACUAUUUCAUUUAAAAACCUAUAAUAAAGUGAUUUGGACCCGAUCCCCACUUCGGUUCACACUUUGGAACCCUUGGUACAUCCUUAACAAAAUUUCCUACAUCCUUCCCAAAAUUUGGUACAUCCUUCAUUAAAUUUGGUACAUCCGAUCCAACAGAUUCCGAGACCCCCAUUUCAACAUGGAUGAUUUAUAAUUUAUUUUAGAAACCCAUAACAAAGUGAUUGGGAGUCGAUCCUCACUUCGAAAUGCAUUUUCAGACCCUCGGUACAUUCUUCACAAAAUUUGGUACAUUCUUCAUUAAAUUUGGUGCAUCCGAGCCUAGUGAUUUCGGGACCCCCUUUUGACCAUGGGUGAGCCACUAUUUCAUUAAGAAACCCAUAACAAAGUGAUUUGGGGCUGAUCCCCACUUCGGUUCGCACUUUGGAACCCUUGGUACAUCCUUAACAAAAUUUGGUACAUUCUUAAUUAAAUUUGGUACAUCCUUCAUUAAAUAUGGUACAUCUGAUCCGAUAGAUUCCGAGACCCCCAUUUCAACAUGGAUGGUCCAUAAUUGCUUUUAGAAACCCAUAACAAAGUGAUUGGGUGUCGAUCCCCACUUCGUGACUCAUUUUUGGACCCUUAGUACAUCUUUCAUUAAAUUUGGUACAUCCGAGCUUAGUGAUUCCGGGACCUUCUUCUGACCAUGGAUGAGCCAUUAUUUCAUUUAAAAACCCAUAACAAAGUGAUUUGGGCCUGAUCCCCACUUCGGUUCACACUUUGGUACCCUUGGUACAUCCUUUACAAAAUUUGGUACAUGCUUCACAAAAUUUGGUACAUCCUUCAUUAAAUUUGGUACAUCCGAUCCGACAGAUUCCGAGACCCCCAUUUCAACAUGGAUGGUCCAUAAUUGCAUUUAGAAACCCAUAACAAAGUGAUUUGGGGCCGAUCCUCACUUCGGAACGCAUUUUUAGACCCUUCGUACAUCCUUAAUAAAAUUUGGUACAUCUGAGCUUAGUGAUUCCGGGACCCUCUUCUGACCAUGGAUGAGCCACUAUUUCAUUUGAAAACCAAUAACAAAGUGAUUUGGGCCCGAUCCCCACUUUGAUUCACACUUUGGAACCUUUGGUACAUCGUUAACAAAAUUUGGUACAUCUUUCACAAAAUUUGGUACAUCCUUCAUUAAAUUUGGUACAUCCGAUCCGACAGAUUCCGAGACCCCCAUUUCAACAUGGAUGAUCCAUAAUUUCUUUUAGAAACCCAUAACAAAGUGAUUGGGAGUCAAUCCUCACUUCGAAAUGCAUUUUCGGACACUCGGUACAUUCUUCACAAAAUUUGGUACAUCCUUCAUUAAAUUUGGUACAUCCGAGCCUAGUGAUUUUAGGACCCCCUUUUGACGAUGGAUGAGCCACUAUUUCAUUUAUAAACCCAUAACAAAGUGAUUUGGGGCCGAUCCCGACUUCGGAUCGCACUUUGGAACCCUUGGUACAUCCUUAACAAAAUUUGGUACAUUCUUAAUUAAAUUUGGUACAUCCUUCAUUAAAUUUAGUACAUCCGAUCCGAUAGAUUCCGAGACCCCCAUUUCAACAUGGAUGGUCCAUAAUUGCUUUUAGAAACCCAUAACAAAGUGAUUGGGGGUCGAUCCCGACUUCGUGACUCAUUUUCGGACCCUUAGUACAUCCUUCAUUAAAUUUGGUAUAUCCGAGUUUAGUGAUUCCGGGACCCUCUUCUGACCAUGGAUGAGCCACUAUUUCAUUUAAAAACCCAUAACAAAGUGAUUUGGGCCCGAUCCCACUUCGGUUCACACUUUGGAACCCUUGGUACAUCCUUUACAAAAUUUGGUACAUCCUUCACAAAAUUUGGUACAUCCUUUAUUAAAUUUGGUACAUCUGAUCCGACAGAUUCCGAGACCCCCAUUUCAACAUGGAUGGUCCAUAAUUGCUUUUAGAAACCCAUAACAAAGUGAUUUGGGGCCGAUCCCCACUUCGGAACGCAUUUUUAGAUCCUUGGUACAUCCUUAAUAAAAUUUGGUACAUUCGAGCUUAGUGAUUCCGAGACCCUCUUCUGACCAUGGAUGAGCCACUAUUUCAUUUAAAAACCCAUAACAAAGUGAUAUGGGCCCGAUCCUUACUUCGGUUCACACUUUGGAACCCUUGGUACAUCCUUAACAAAAUUUGGUACAUCCUUCACAAAAUUUAGUACAUCCGAUCCGAUAGAUUCCGAGACCAGUAUUUCAACAUGGAUGGUCCAUGAUUUCUUUAAGAAACCCAUAACAAAGUGAUUGGGAGUCGAUCCUCACUUCGAAACGUAUUUUCGGACCCUCGGUACAUUCUUCACAAAAUUUGGUACAUCCUUCAUUAAAUUUGGUACAUCCGAGCCUAGUGAUUUUGGGACGCCCUUUUGACCAUGGAUGAGCCACUAUUUAAUUUAGAAACCCAUAACAAAGUGAUAUGGGGCCGAUCCCUACUUCGGAUCGCACUUUGGAACCAUUGGUACAUCCUUCACAAAAUUUGGUACAUCCUUAAUUAAAUUUGAUACAUCCUUCAUUAAAUUUGGUACAUCUGAUCCGAUGUAUUCCGAGACCCCCAUUUCAACAUGGACGGUCCAUAAUUGCUUUUAGAAACCCAUAACAAAGUGAUUUGGGGCCGAUCCCCACUUCGGAACUCAUUUUUAGACCCUUGGUACAUCCUUAACAACAUUUGGUACAUCCGAGCUUAGUGAUUCCGGGACCCUCUUCUGACCAUGGAUGAGCCACUAUUUCAUUUAAAAACCCAUAACAAAGUGAUUUGGGCCCGAUCCCCACUUCGGUUCACACUUUGGAACCCUUGUACAUCCUUAAACAUUUUAUAGAAUUAUUAUCAAAUACAAUAUGAGAAUUAUUAUUAAAAACAUUUUUGACUUUUUUAAUACUUGAAAGAUAAAAAUUUUGAAAUAUUAAAAGUACUCCUUAAAGUCACAACCAAAUGGAUCUUUUGAAUAUAUUAAACAAUGAUUUUAAAAAACUCUUUUAACCUUAAAAACAUUUUAAAACAAAAUUAAGUGUUUGAAAAAUUUUAUCAAAUAUUUUUAAAAAUCUUAAAAAUUACUUAUAAUAUGAAAAAAUUAGAUUUUUUUUAAGAAACCUUUAUUAUUAAUUUCUCAUCCAUUUUUUUUGUUUUUGUUUUUGACAAGAAAUCAUUUCUAAGUACGGGGAUUCCCACACAUUUUCACAAUAUUUGAAUAAGGGAUUGGCAGUUAGCGUGGGUCCUAUAGUUGAUUGCUAUUUUAAGAUCGGCCCAUUAUCUUCCUCAAUUACUCCAUUUUAUAUUUUUCUAUUUUUGAAAGAAUCUUUACAGAUCUUCAAUAAUUAAUGAGAAGUACUAUCUUCCUCAUCCCAUUCCUCCCCCUCUCACUCUCUUUACGUCUUUAAAGUAAGUGGUAGGGUUGGCUUUUUUGAGUUAGAGUUGGUACAAUAAAAAGGGAAAUGGAAUUAUUGCCUUUUCAUCCAGAUGAGCAGCCACAAUCAUUUACUUCAAAAGAAUCAAAACAUCUCCCUUUUGCAGUGAAAGACAUGUGAAAUUCAUUGAGUUUGAAUUUCAAUAAAUUUGAAUUGAAUUUGAAUUUGAAUUUACCAAUUCAAGGUAAUGGGGCAGUCGUCAAAAGUGGAUUUUAAGACAAUAAGUUUGAAGAAGUUUAUGUUUGGGUAUCAAAAAAUUAAACCAAAAAUGGAAGGGAAGGAAAAAAAAAUAAUUUAAAAUUAAUAAAUUAUAUUUAUAUAUUUUUUUAAAAAGUAUUCUACUUAUUUUCUUUUAUUACAUAAAAAUAAAAAAUAAUUUAUAAAUUUAUAAAUUUUUAAUUAGUAAAAUGAUGCCUAUAAUUGCAAAACAACAUUGAUUAUAUUGUUACAAAUUUUGUAUUCAAAAUAAAAUUGGAUGUCAUUCAUGAGUUUGGUAGUGGUUUUAAAAUUUUUUUUUUUUAUAUUUAUAACAUAUGAAGAUUUUUAUUUUUUAAAUAUUCAAAAUAUUAAAAAUAUUUCAUAAAAUUAUUAUCAAACGGAUAGUGGUUGUGAAAAACGUUUUUAUCUUUUGUAAUAUUUAAAAGAUAAAUUUUUUGAAAUGUUAAAAAUAUUAAAAGUAUUUCGUACAAUCACUAUUAAACGAGUUAUUAGAGUGUGUUUGAGAGCCCAUUUGAUAGUAAUUUUAUGAAGCGCUUCUAACCCUUUUAACACUUGAAAUUUUUUAUCAUUCAAGUGUUAUAAAUACUAUAAACAUUUUAUAGAAUUAUUAUCAAAUACAAUAUGAGAAUUAUUAUUAAAAACAUUUUUGGUUUUUUUAAUACUUGAAAGAUAAAAAUUUUGAAAUAUUAAAAGCACUCCUUAAAAUCACAACCAAAUGGAUCUUUAGAAUAUAUUAAACAAUGAUUUUAAAAAACACUUUUAACCUUAAAAACAUUUUAAAACAAAAUUAAGUGUUUGAAAAAUUUUAUCAAAUAUUUUUAAAAAUCUUAAAAAUUACUUAUAAUAUUUUAUCAAUUAUUUUCUUAAUACUUUUUUCUUCUUUAUGGUAUUAAAUAUGAUCAUAAGAAAUAAAUUAUCAGUGCCGCCGACUGCAGAUAAUCUUCUCAAUUUUCUUAAAGCUAUGUUUAAAAAAUUGUAGAAGGAAAGAGUAAGCGAAAAAAAUAAAAUAAAAUUUAAAUUAAUAAAUUAUUUUAUAUGUGUCUUUAAAUUAAAUUAAUUUAUUUUUAUUUAUUAUAUAAGCAUUAAAUAAUUUUAAAAUAGAUAGUUUUUUUUAAUUAAUUUUAAUUAUAUUUGAUUUUUUUUUAUAAUGAAAUGAAAACCCUUUCUUUUAGUAUUUGUUUUUUUUCUUUAGUAUUUUUUAGAAACUAAAUAUAGCCUUAGGUUUUUUUAUUUAUUUAUUAAGUUUAUUUUUUUUUUAUUAACUAAAUUGAGCUCUUAAUUAAUAAUGAAAGCAUUUUCUUAAUAAUGAGCUCUUAAUAAUACCAAUAAAAAAAUUUCAUCCAAUUUAAAGUUGAAGGUAAUAUCUCGAAUGGUCAAAGUAAUACAUGUAUCGUUGAAAUAUAGUAUUUAUAUAUUCAAAAUUAAUACCUCAAUUGAAAAGUAUUCAAAAUCUUAAUUAUUUUCUAAAAAAUGUAUUAAAUUUAAAUUUUUUAAAAUUGGGUUUUUAUUUUCUGAUUUGUGCAAGAGCACACACUUUUCAUCUUUUUUUAUUUAUAUAUUUAUUUAUUAUUUUUUAUUUUAACUGUUGAAUAAGACUUAACAAGAGUGGAUGAAUGUCUAUCAGAUUCAGAUAAGGAUGAUGGCACAAGCCGACUAAAACGAAAGAGUUAAGCAUGUGAGUGCCACCAGGCCUGCAAGGAAUGGUAGGUCCCAAAAUAUCCAAGAAAUCUCUAUAUAUAGAAACCAAUACACUUCACGUCUUUCCAUGCGACUCGCAAGCUUCUUGUCUCAGUUGCAAACAGGUACAAAAAUGAUGCUGCAGUUGCCACAAACCACAAAUGAAGCUAUGUUAAAUAUUUAAAAUAUUGCAGUUCCAAAUGGGGUGUUCGGGAUAAAAUAUUUUAAUGUGAGAUCGAAUAACCUAAAAGAAAGGAUGUUGCCACUGAGUCUAGAGAAGUGAUCCUUCACAGCUUUGGGCAUGGGAGUAUGAGGCAAAACCAACUUCCAGUAACCCUCAUAAGGUAGAGAAGCAUGGCUUACUACCACCACCACCACCACCACUGAGUCAACUUGACGAGUGUUCUCACUCCAUCCUCUUCCCAUUCUGGCUUUUCUUUCGGUAAGUCCACAUCUUUUUCCUCUUCAUUUUUGUUAUGAAUAUUGUCAAUCAAAUAUUCUUUCAGUUGUGUUAUUGUUAUUAAUGCAACUUAAUUGCAGGUGGAGGUGGUAGAAAGCCAUGCUUCUCUACCUUCUGAAGGUUACUGGAAGUUGGUUUUGUCUAAUACUCCCAUGCCCAAAGNNNNNNNNNNNNNNNNNNNNNNNNNNNNNNNNNNNNNNNNNNNNNNNNNNNNNNNNNNNNNNNNNNNNNNNNNNNNNNNNNNNNNNNNNNNNNNNNNNNNCAAUCAAAUAAUGUUCAGAUAUGUUAUUGUUAUUAAUGCAACAUAAUUGCAGGAGGUGGUGGUAGUAAGCCAUGCUUCUCUACCUUCUGAAGGUUACUGGAAGUUGGUUUUGUCUCAUACUCCCAUGCCCAAAGCUGUGAAGGAUCACUUGCAGCCUGGUUUGUUUCAAUACAUCUCUAGACUCAGUGGCAACAUCCUUUCUUUUAGGUUAUUCAAUCUCACAUUAAGCUCAUAAUUUUUCUUUGUCAUUGCUGAAUUUGCAAAUUCAAGGCGUAACUUCUUUCAAUGCUUCUGCUGCCAGAUGUUUUGGGAUUCACAAUCAGUUCAACAAAAUCCCUCAACCAUUCCAUGCAAAGCAGGCUCAAGAUGGCUUAAAUAUAGGUAACUUCUUCUUGCAAACAGAUCUGCACCCAGGUACAAAAAUGAUGCUGCAGUUGCCACAAAGUACAAAUGAAGGUAUGUUCUUGCCUUGUCAAGUUGCUGACUCCAUAUCCUUUUCAUCUAAGAAGUUACCCAAAAUUUUGAACCGGCUUUCAGUGAAGGAAAAAUCUGCAGAAGCUGAGCUGAUGAAGAAGGAGAUAGAAGAGCUAGUGUGAGGAGGCUGCCAUGGAUGGAGAAUCUAGGUUCUGUGCAACAUCAUUAGAGUCCCUAAUCGAUUUCAGCACUUCAAAGCUCGGAAGAAAUGUGAAUGUGCUGACGAAUGAGGUCAAAACGGGAAGCCAAGAGUAUGAAUUUGGAGUGGGAAUGAAGAAGGUUGCAGACAAAUCAGUGGUGUGCCAUAAGAUGAACUACCCAUAUGCUGUUUUCUAUUGCCAUACCUUCACUAAGACACGAACUUACAUGAUUCCAUUGGUGGGUGCUGAUGGAAGCAAAGCUAAAGCCAUGGCAGCUUGUCACAGUGAUACAUCAGCUUGGCACCCACAGCAUGUGGCUUUCCAAGUGCUCAAAAUUAAGCCAGGAACGGUCGCAGUCUAUCAUUUCCUUCACAACAAUGCCAUGGUCUGGAUUCCAAAGUAAGAAUCAGCCUCAAGCCUCAAGCCCAGUUGCAUUAUCAGUUCCAUCUUAAAGCUGUUUGUAGUAUGAAUGGUUCGAAUAAAUGCAGGUUCGAGGAUUAAUGUGUGUAGUGUGCAAUUGAUGCUAUGUAUUCAUCAAUGUUUCCAGGUUGAUUAAUUAAGGAGUAUUAUGGUAUAUAUAUAUAUAUAUGUUGUGUGCAAUAGUCCUCAGCAAAGCAAUUAGCCAAUAUUUUUUUUUUAUAUUAAUUCCAAUCAUAUGAAAUAUUGGAAAUAACCUUCACUGUUUCAUAUAUGGCCGGAGAAAGAAUUGAAUAAGAUUAAUGUUGUUGUGCCCUGAAGCCAAACAAUACAUGUGUAAUAUGGGCCAUAAAUUUAAAAAUACACAAAUUUAUAAUUAAUUUUAAUAAUAUGUGAUAAACCCAUAUUCUUUAAUAUUUUUUUUAGAAUCAAACAUAACUUAAAUGAUUAUUACUACACCUACACAAGUGAGUGAAAAAACUCUUACAGACAAAACUAAAUACAGAGAAACAGUUUGGAGAUAAGGUUGCCAAUUGCCAACUUGCCAUCAAAGCCAUUGCAUCUUCUUUUAUUACAACAAAAAUAGAAAAACGUGACAUGUUUGUAGGAUGAGUCAUUAUCAAGGGUUUCCUCGUGACAAGAAAACAAAAGAGACUAAAAAACAAAACAAAAAAGCUUUGCUUCUGUGGCACUAUUUCAGUACCGAGUUCACGGGACCAUGUGCAGAGACUGAGCAAUCCUUCAAUUGCUCUCCAACUCCAACACCACCCAUCUGAGAUAAACCCCGGGAAUUUUCCGUAUGAGUUUCUCCAAAUUGGCCUGAUAAAAGGGCAUUUUCAUUUUCAUCUUUAGAAGGCAAAUUAAUCUCCAAUGUCAAAUUUCUUUUAACUGGGCCUUUUCCUGCUGAUGAACCACGAGCAGUGGAAUUAUCAUCCGGAGAAGUUACCAAAUAGUUGUCUAAGGUGCCCUUGCUACUGGGAGAACCAUCGACUGCUCUUUUUGAAUCUUUUUCGAUUCUUCCAGUCUUCAAACCAGGAGAUAGCAGUUUCCUUUUCUUUGAAGAAAAAAACUGCAUACAGAAACCAAUUACAGGCCAACAACGAAUGCAAAUUACUUCAAAUUUGAACAAGAAAGGCGAAAAUCUCUGUAACCCUACCACAUGAAAAUUUUCAUAAAAUUGCCUCAUCAAAAAUAGAAGAUUCGUUGCAUGUUUUACCAAGAACAAUGCAACAAAGAUGAAAUUUUGAAGAGAAAAUGAAUGCCGAAAGAGAUCUAUGGUUUUGGGAGAGAGUAUUGAUGAGAAAAAAAUUACCUGAUCGAUGCGAAUCCGAGGCCAUGAUAGAAGCGAAGUUUCAGGCGAUCUACGGAACCCUAGUUUUUGGCCCCGCACAUACAAGCUCGCAAAAGGAAGUCACUCAAGAGGUUUGAAUUUUCCGGAAUGACCGCCAACAAGUGCCAUGUGCACAGGAAAGGCAGAUGACAAUGGACCCAAACCCGGCCCAUUAAUCCCUGGGGCUCGGGCUGGCCCAAAUCUUUAGACGGCUGUAUUUUCCUUUACGAUUGAAAAAUACGACUAAUUCAAGACGUAACAAUAUAAAGGAAAACCUACAUAAAAAUCACCUUUGCAGGCACAGAGUAUUGGCCCAAAAGAAUCUAUUGCCGACCCAAUUCUUAGAUUAGCAAGCUGAAUUUCAUGUGAGUUUAAUUAACCUAAUUGGAGUUGGUCUAAUCUAAUCCGCAAUCUUACCUUGUUAUGAAUCAAAAUAUUAUAGGCAAGCCAACUAGGUAUAUCGUUAUCAAUCUUAAGACUACGUAUAUUUAGGGUUUAGAGUUUAUGAUUUAUAGUUUAUGGUUCACAAUAGACAAUUCAUGGUUAAUAAGUUAAUAACUAAUAGCAUGAUAAUUUUGAGAUUUAUGGUAAUAUAGUUUAGUGUGUUUUCUAGAUAUCUUGUAAUCAUCAUGUUCCAUUGUUGACAACCUUUCAUUGUUAACAACACAAUAUCUUUUUCAUCAAACUUUUUUGUUAGUAUAGGAACUCUAGGGUCAAGUUGAUUAUGGACAAGCUUAGUAACUCCUUGUCUAAUUGGUUGCAAUCACACGGACCACAUAGCUUUUUUUUAUAAGAAUCCUACUCACAAAGAGUAGUGCAAUGUCCAACUACCCUUGGCAAUGAAGUUAGUGAGGGUUAGAUGGAAAAAAAAAGGGAUGAUUAGAAAAGGAUUGGCUCUAGUAUUCCCUUUCUCCUAGGAAAUAAAGUGGAUGAGUUCAAGGUGGUUUUAUAGAUAGAAAUGAACAGGCUACUUAAUACUGUGGUUGAAGAUCUUUAUGUAGGAUAAUCUAAUCAUAGUUGUUCAGUUAUCUUUAUUUGGACCAUUAUGGUUUUUCAAGUGGCAUGUAAAUCUCUAUGCAAAGGGCACCAUUGGUUACUUAAAACUGGUAUGAUAUAUUAUGAUAGAAUCUUUAAAAGCAUGCCAUGAUAUAACAAAUGUAAAGUUUAUUAUUUAUUUAAUAAUAUCUCAAUUGAACUUUUUUAUAUCUUUGUUUUAUGCAUUAUACUUUAUGAGUAUCCUGACUUGCAUCUCUUUUAUGAGUAUCCUGACUUGCAUCUCUUGUAUCGUACAUAACUUAGGUGGAUUGGGAGUUGUAUAAAAAAAAUCCAAGUCAUGGGUUCCUUGCAAGUUGAUGAUUUGUUUACAAUUAAUUUGUGAACUUAGGCAAUCUAUUUGAGAUUGUAAUGCAUUACCUCUUAGUUGGAGAAAUAACUAGUCUUGGACAUCGAGAUAAGACUCUCAUGAUAAGUGCACUACUGUGUGCAGUUACACAUUAGACGAAAUCUACAGUGAAUCAUGAUGUAAGUUCACAGAAGUAUGAGAUAAUCAUGACUUCACCAAAUUGUUAUGAUACAUUGUCUCUUAACCUUAAGAGAAUAUUGAGUUUUUGCAUUCGUAGUGGCUUUGACCAACUAUUAAGAUCCUAAAGUGAUCAUAUAUUCCUUAUGAAUUGGGUUACUGUUGAUGAAAGCCAACAUCAACAAGUAUUAUUAAUAGAGGUACCAUGAUAUCUCAUGGACUUUGAGACAGUGUGUCCCCUUAGGUAGUUCUAAGAAAGUGUAUUUAGGUAAACUAUAAUCAUAGUAGUUUUUUAAGUAGAAUUUGAGAUAAACUCUUAGUGAGCUAGGACAUGUCAAUUGAUUACACAAUAGGAAAAUUUAUAACUCAAGAAUGGUAGAGGUGAUUUUGAGAGGCUAAUAGUUUUUACCUUACUAGAUUAUGAAUACUAAUUCAUGAGAAAACUAUGUAUAGUGGAGCAGGUUACGGAUAUGACUUAGUGUCUUGUUGUAAUAUACAUAGGACAUUGAAGUACAAUUGACUUUUUAUAGCGGGAUGUUGAGUCAUCUUCAAAAUUUGAUUAUGAGGGAGCUAGUAUUGUCCUAUAAGUCCCAUCGAUCCUUAUUUAAGCUCAUAUACCUCAAUGACUAUAUUUAUAAUGAUUGGAUUGAUUCUUGGUUCACUUAUAUACAUAAGGGUAUUUUGAUAACUAUGUAAGGUUAUAUAAGAAUAAGUGAAAGACAUUUCUAAAUUGUGACGAAAGGCUUCCCAUGUUUAGGAAUGAAUCUAUUGCAUUUGAAGAUUGAGAUAUUGUGGGAUAUUGAGUUGGAAAGAUGGACGAAUCAAGAAUUUGUAAUCAAUUUUACUUCAUAAAUUGAGAAUGACAUAUUAAUUCUCACUUGCCGUGUGUUGAAAUUAGUUUUAAAUAGCAUAUAAAGGUAAUUUAUUGUAUUUAAAUUUAUUUUUCAUAUUUUUUUCUUCUUUAUUUUUUUUAUUUGUAUUUUGUCUAAUUUUUUAAAUCAAUUUAUUAUUUUUAUUUUUAAUUAAUGAAUUAAUUAAUUAAUUAAUUAAUUAAUUAUUCUUGAAAUAAGUGAUGGUCCUUUCAUGUUAUCCAUUAUUGUGAUCACAAGUUCUCUUGUGUCCUCAAUCAAUAUUUUUUUAAUCAAAAUAUUUGUAAAAAUGUUAGUAAUGAAUUACUUAAAAAAUUAAGUGUUAUAAUAAUUAUUUAAAAAAUAUAACUAUGUUUUGUUCUUAGAAUAUAUUAAAUAAAAAAAUACUGAAAAAAAUGAUUUUCUCAUAUUUGAUUUUCUUACAAAAAAAAUAUGAAAAUAUAAAAUAUUAUUAAAAUUAGUUUUCAAAUUAUUUAAUUUUUAUAUGAAAGACUUAUAAAAUAAAUUUGAAAACGUGUAUUAAAAUAAUUUAUUAAUUAUAUAUAUAUAUAUAUAUAUAUAUAUAUAUAUUUUUAUCUUCUUUCGUUUUUUUUCUUUUUCUUUUAUUUACUUUUCCUCUUUAUUUGAAAAAGUGUAUAAAAAAUGAAGUAUUCAUUUUUUAUUUUAUUUUAUUUUUUACUAUUUUAAGUUUUAAAAUUUUAAAAUCAAUUUUAAAUAUUUUAAAUAUAUAAUGUAUACUUUUUGUAUAAAAAGUUUUAAUUUUUAUACAAAAUUUGAUUAUUUUAUAAUUUAAAAACAAAAAUAGGAAAGAUAUCCUAGGACACUUAUUAUGUUAAUUUUUAAAUAAAAAUAUAAACAUGGAAUUAUCGUCUAUAGAUUUUGUUACUUUUAGUUUUUAGUUUUUUUCAAAGUAAAUAGACUAGAAAUGAUUCAUUGAACCCUACUAUCGAUGCCCAUCAUUCCAUCCAUGCCAGAGUGGCCGUGAAAUAAAUUCUUGGUGCCGCCGGACAUCAACAAUCAUGACACUUAAUUUAAUUUGUUAGGUUUUUGUCAAUUUUCAUGAUCACUUUCGCUAGUUUAACAAGGGUCUCCAAAAAGCCCGCGGCCCACGGCCCGGCCCGACCUGAGCCCAUUUCUGGAUGGGAUGAGCCAUGGGCCCAAAUUUAGGCCUAGCCCGGCCCAGUGGGCUGGCCCGCCCGUAGGCCCGCCACUUAAAAUAUAUAUAUAUAUAUAUAUAUAUUCAAGAAAUAGAAAAUGCUACAUUAAUAAAAAUAUUUAUUGCUAACUAUUUUAUUCAUUGAAUGUAUACAUUACAUUUGAAAAUGUGGGAAAAGUUUACAUCACUACAAAAUAAAUACAUCUCAACUAGGUUGACACUUACUUAUUUGUCAAUCAUUUGUACUUUUCAACCAUAAAAAUAAAAAUAAAAAUAUGACAUACAUUUAGUAAAAUAUUUUAAUCAUUAUCUCUUGGCGAUGAUGGCGAACUAUCGCAAAUCCAUGAAGAUCUUGAAGAUUUUAGUUUUUCUAUAUCGACAAACAUAUUUUCUUCUUGAAUAGAAUCAAAUAUCCUUUUAUCUGCUAUUGCCUAGUCUUUCCCACAUAUAUUUGCUUCAAUAGAAUCCGACACUAAGCUGCAUCGUUUAUCACUAACUACUCUUCCACCUGUACUAAAAGUAGCUUCUGAUGCAAUUGUACUCACAGGAACUGUUAGUACAUCACGAGCAAUGAUAGAAAGUACAGAAUAUUUGUGUUGUUGUGAUUUCCACCAUAUUAAAAUAUCAAAAUCUUCAUCAUCUUCAAAUGAAAUUAAAUCAAUAUUAAGAUAUCUAUCUAAAUCAGUUGUGUUGUUUGGAGAACUAUUUGUUGUCUUCUUUCGACUUUUUAACAUUUCUAGAGCUCCUUUAUAAAAAGAUGAAGAGCUUGUAGAUGUAGGUGGUAAUUUAAUAGAACUAAUAUCAUCACCAUAUUUUUCUUUAUAAUAGUUAUAUAAAUUAUAUAAUAAUGAAUUUAUUUCAUUUUUAAUUUCUUCAAUUUUUAUUUGGUCAUUAAAAUAAAUAAUUGUUAACCAUUCAUUCAAAGCUUCAAAUUUCAAUCUAGGGUCCGCAAUUAAACCAAGAUAAAAAAUUAAAGGUAUUUCUCCCCAGUAUUUUCUAAAUUUUUCUAUCAUUGCAAAUAUUGCAUCAUUAAAUAUAUCCAAAUUUAAAUAUUUUGAAGUACAAUAAAAAUAUUAGUUAUUUGCAUGACAACUCGGUUUGAAGAUGGAUGAUAUACACUACAAAAAUUUGGUGGCUAGUUACACAAAAAAGGGUCAGCUCAAUUGGUGGCUAGCUCUUCUUGAAUGCUUAUGGAUUCAUAAGGGAAAGGGUUCGAAUCCCCUUCCCUUCAAAACUUAAAAGUAUUUUAAUUUUUACCCAAUACCCACCCAAGCCCGCCCAGCCCGUCCAGCUUGAGGGCCCAUAGGCUGGGCCACGGGCCUUAGAUUUACCAAGGGCCCGGCCCGACCAGCCCGUUGACCAGUCAACGGGCUCAGUGGCCCGCCCGGGUUGGGCCAUGGGCCUUACUCCUCCGGGCUGGCCAGCCCGGUCCGGCCCGUUGGAGACCCUCAGUUUUCAUUUUGACGUAAAUUUGAUGAUUAAGAUAGAAAUUUAACAUUGGGAAAAAUAGCCAUUAAAGAAUUAUUUGAAAAACAUUUUUUCCAAUUUUUUUAUUGAAUAAAAUGUUAUCAAAAUCAUUGCAAAAAAUGUUUUUCAUUAAUAUCAAAUAUUAAUUAAUUAAUUAAUUUUUUAAUAUGAUAAUAUUGUAUGAAAAUGACAUACUCUAAUACUUCAAUAUAGUGUGGUGAUAUAUUUUUUCUUCUUCUGAUUAAGAUUUUAUCAUUUUUGGACAAGUUUCACUUCUUUUCCAAUACUCCAAUACUCUCAAACUAAUCGGAUGCUUCAACCCUAUAAGAUUAGGGGAGAGGAUGACCCUCGACAUCCUUUGUGUAACACAAUAAAACUAAUUCAAGUUCAUAAUAUGAUAUUUUAUAUAUUAUUUUUAUAAAUAUUUGAAGAUAAUAUUUGAGAAUGUAAGUUUAGUAAAUUAUGUACAUACGGUGUGAAAUUAAAAGGAUAUUAUUUUCAUUCUUAAACAAAUAGAUACUUUAUAAAACAUAAAUUGACUGCUUUGUUGUUUUUACUCGUGAAAGUAAGACCAGCCAAGCAGUGGUGGUUGAGGGGUCACAUGAUUGGUGAUAAAAUUGUUUAUAUCCACAUUUACAAAAACCUAUUCUUGAGAAGGGAUCUUCAGGACACUCAUGUGCUAGUUUAAUUAUCUCGUUGUAAUGGAACUUACAUGAAUAAAUGAACUUGGUGGCAUGCAUGCAGGUGAUGGUGGUAGUAAUCCAUGCCUCUCUACCUGCUGAGGAUUACUGGAAGUUGGCUUUGCCUCGCACUCCCAUGCCUAAAGCUAUACUAGAUCUGUUGCAGUCCAGUUAGUUUCAUUAAAUCUCUACCCUCCUCUUCUGCAACAUCUUUUACUGAUUCUAAUUAUGGUCUCCUAUCAUAGAAUUAAACUGCAGAGUAAAGAUUGUUCUUUAUAACUAUUUGCUUUAUUUCUUGAAAAUUAUUUGUCUAGACUAACAUUUCUAACUCUUCUUUGUAAUUGCUGUACUUGCAAAUUCAACAGAAGGUCUAAGUUCUGUCGAUGCUUCUACUGCCUCUUGUACUAUUCACAUCCACUUCGAUAAAUUCUCUCAACCCGCGGGAGAAGAGGCUCAAGUAGAUGACUCAAAAAUAGGUAACUUCUUGGAAACAGACCUGCAUCCAGGUAAAAAAUGAAGAUGAACUUGGCCACAACUACAAAUGGAGCUGUUUUCUUGCCUCAUCAAGUUGCUGAAUCCAUACCCUUUUCAUCCAACAAGCUACCUGAAAUCUUGAACCGGUUUUCCCUGAAAGAAAAAUCCACAGAAGCCGAGAUAAUAAAGGAGCUAGAGGAAUGCGAGGAGCCUGCCAUGGAAGGAGAAGCAAAGUACUGUACAACAUCAUUAGAGUCCCUAAUCGAUUUCAGCACUUCAAAGCUUGGAAGAAAUGUGAAUGUGCAGGCGAAUGAGGUCAAAACGGGGAGCCAGGAGUAUGAGUUUGGAGUGGGAAUGGAGAAGCUUGCCGACAAAUCAGUGGUGUGCUAUAAGAUGAACUACCCAUAUGCUGUUUUCUACUGCCAUACAUUCACUAAGACACGGACUUACAUGAUUCCGUUGGUGGGUGCUGAUGGAAGCAAAGCUAAAGCCAUGUCAGCUUGUCAUAGUGACAGAUCAGCUUGGCACCCAAAACAUGUGGCCUUCAAAGUGCUCAAUGUUAAGCCAGGAACAGUCCCUGUCUGCCAUUUCGUUCACAACAAUGCCAUGGUCUGGAUUCCAAAAUAGCCUGAUGAUGAAAUCAACGGAAAUAUUUAAUCCUCAACCACAGUUGCAUUGUUCCACGUAAUAGUCGUUUCUAGUAUCAAUGGUGUGGUUUGAACAAAUGCAGGUUAAUUUGAGAAGAAUGUAGUGUGGAAUGCUAUUCAUCAAUCUUUCCCGGUUGAUUAAAGGAAUAUUGUAUAUAUUGUUGUGUGGCAUAAUAUUCAGUAAUUAAUGAAUCACUAUGAAUUAUCCUAGUGUAUAUAUUGUAGUUUAUCCUAGUGUAUAUAUUGUAGUUGUGCAAAUGAUCCUAUUUAUAUUUUUAAAAAUUAAUUUUAAAAUUUGAAUUAGUAAUUUUUUUAAAUCUUAAUUUUUAAAAUGAUUUCAACCCUUUUAACCAAAUAUUUUAUGUUAAAAAUUAUUAUUAGUAUAUAUAUAUAUAUAUAUAUUAGAAAUCCCUAUUUUACUUUAACAAAUAUCUUAUCAGGCUUUUUUUAACUUACACAUCUAGUUCAAAAAAUAAUUAUUAAAAAAUGGUAGUUUGGAAAAAAAAAAAUUUAAAAUAUGAUAGUUACAAAACUAUUAAUAAAUUUUGAAUACUUUUUGUUCAUUUAUGACAUUUUUCAUAAUUUCAUAAAAUUAAAUUUAUGUUGAAGGUGUCUCUUCAAAAGACACUUUUUUCAUAAUUUUUUUAUUAGUUAUACACGUUAAAAACAAAUUGAAGUUAUACUAAAAAAUAUAAUUUCCACAAUGUCAUAGAAUCAAAUUUAUACCAAAGGUGUCUCUUGAAGAGAUAUCUUCCACAAUUUUCAUAUUAGCCAUAUAGUGAAAAAAAAAACUGUAUUUAAGUUUAAGGCAUAGAUCUCUAUAAUUUCACAAAAUUGAAUUUACACUAAGGCGAUGUUUGUUUUUUUCACUUUUUGCUAAAAGUAAUUUGCUUUCAAAAUUUAAGUUUUUUUUUUUUCUAGUUUUUGAUGACUUAUUAUUGAAUUUUCAAUUUUUUUUGGUUAAAUAGAAAAAACAAACUUUUUAAACCUCCCCAAAUCACGAUUGCAACCCGACACCUGACGCCCAACCCUAGCCCAUCCCUUGUAGCUCUCUAGUCUUAAUUGCAAUCGGCGAUCCCCAACCCUCACCUCAUCAUUGUGUAGCUCAUUGGUUCCACGACCAUCACCAAGCUUUCUUAAGGUAAUUUCUUCCCCAUUUUCUCUCUAUUUAGGUUUCAGCUUUCGUUCUUCCUCUUUCUCAGCAAUGGGGUUAAACCAUAGGUAGAAUGGUUGUUUUAUGUUUGGAAAUGGUUUAUUAAUAUAUUCUUUAGUACGAUUCUUUAUGAUUCUCAUGCCAAUGGUUUAUUUUGAAGUUUUGUGGGCAAUUUUGACUUUGUGGGAGUGGGUUUGAUGAGUUUACAGGUUCAAUGAAUUUUGUAGAGAUGCUCAUGGGUUUUUUGGAUACAUUUGUGUGAUUCGAUUUUGACUUUGAGGAACCAUUUGUGUGAUUUUGUGGGCCAUUUUUUGCCUGCUUGGGUUGUUUUUUGUUGCCUUUGUAUAGUGUCAUUCACUUGUCUAAUGUGCAGAGUGAAGCUUUGUCAUUCACUUGUACUUGGUUGUUGGAGGAAAUAAUAAUAUCAAAAUAAGAAUUGUUAACCAAUUUUUAAACAAUAAUAUGCAUUUUCUGAAUGUAUGUUAUUGCUUGAUUUGACUCCGUGUUCUUGUUUCCUGUUGUUUUGCAUUGAAAUUACUUCCUUCCUUUGAAAACCUUCUGCCAGAUAAACAGGACUAUAAAAGAAUCACAUAGAGAGAGUUUGACAAAUUUUGCAAUCUCAAAACAUCUUGGAUUUUCCAAUUUCAUAAGAGAGUGAUAAUUUCUAUGGGAUAACCAAGUUACAAAAAAGUACGGUUCUUAUAUCAAAUGAACAACAAAAAUGAACAAACUCAUUCCUCACCAGAAUCCUUCCGUGGUUGGAGGCCACCAAUCUCGAAAACCCUAGAAGUUUAUGACAUGGGGGAUGAAUUAGAAUCCAUAUUGAAGAGGGCUUAUUUUUACAAGUGCAGAUGCUGAUCCACUCUUUUUUUUUUUUUUUUGUAAUAAAUAACUUCACAAUUUUUAAUUUUAAGCUUCUAUCCUUUGCCUUCAAUCUUCAAUCUCUGCUAUUGUAUUAAUGGCCCUGGGAGCUGCCUAAGAAAAAUGAAAAAAAUGGACCAACCAAACUCAAAGAUGACAAUAGUUUGGUGGCUGCCCUUGAAGAAGAUCCACAGAAGAAUGGACAGUUCAGAAAGGGGAAGAGGGUCAGAAAACACACUACUUUGGGAAGAGAGAGUGAAUUGAAUUGGUUGUUCUUGUACAUGAUCAGAGAUGUUUAAUUGGCCUGGAUAAAAAAACAUAUAUCUCUCAUUAAUAAGAUAUAUAUGUAGCAUAGUCAGGCUUAAAAUUGAAUGCCAUUAACUAUGACAAAGACUGCCAUACACAAUUGUGCAUGGCACAUGCACAUCCCAUCAGCAUCCUAUGCUUCUUAUGGAUCAAAGGUGAAUUUGCUUUUAGUGCAGACUAGACAUGUAAUGUGAUUUUGUUAUCUGAUGGGAUUCUUGGUGUUACCGUAUCUAUGGUUAUAGAAAAUAGCAUUAUUAAACUGGUGGUUGUCUUAGGGAUUGUUAACUUCUUGAGGUUGCUUAUAGAAGAAAAGAUUAUUCUAAAGCAACUAAAGUGAAUAUUGUGUUUGCCAGACAAUUGUUUAUUCUUUCUGUUAACAUUUAGGGCAUUGGAUGGAUUAUCUCUGUUAGAACCUUGCAAGAUAUUGUGAGUACUUUUUUCUGCUUAUAGUUGAAGCCUUUGUUAGUGUUGAAAGCCAGCUGGCUAGUUGCUUCCUUUCUUGAAUUCAAGAAAGAAUUUUUUUGCCACCACCAAAAGAAAAAGUAAAGGUAAAUAAAAAAAUUUAUUUAUUUUUGUAUGUUUUUUUUUUUUUUUAAAUUUUGACUUAUUUUUACCUAUGAAAUUUAAAUAAUUUAAAAAUAAAUAAAAUUUAAACUAAUUUUAAUUAUAUUUGAUUUUAAUUUUUUUUUUUAUAAUGAAAGAGAAAACCAUUUUUUCAGCAUUUGUUUAAGUAGUUCCCAAAAUAUCCAAGAAAUCUCUAUAUAUAGAAACCAACACACUUCACUGCUUUCCAUGCAACUUGCAAGCUUCUUGUCUCAAUUUCUGAGUUUCUGAGCUUUUACCAUUAAUGGAGUUCCUUCGUCCUCUUCCCAUUCUGGCUUUUCUUUCAGUAAGUCCACAUCUUUUUCCUCUUCAUUUUUGUUAUGAAUAUUGUCAAUCAAAUAUUCUUUCAGUUGUGUUAUUGUGAUUAAUGCAACUGAAUUGCAGGUGGUGGUGGUAGUAAGCCAUGCUUCUCUACCUUCUGAGGGUUACUGGAAGUUGGUUUUGCCUCACACUCCCAUGCCCAAAGCUGUGAAGGAUCACUUGCAGCCUGGUUGGUUUCAAUACAUCUCUAGACUCAGUUGCAACAUCCUUUCUUUUAGGUUAUUCGAUCUUACAUUAAGCUUAUAAUUUUUCUUUGUCAUUGCUAAAUUUGCAAAUUCAAGGUGUAACUUCUUUCAAUGCUUCUGCUGCUGCUUUUUGUUUGGGGAUUUACUAUGGGUUCAACAAAAUCCCUCAACCAUUCCAUGCAAAGCAGGCCCAAGAUGGCUUAAAUAUAGGUAACUUCUUCUUGCAAACAGAUCUGCACCCAGGUACAAAAAUGGUGCUGCAGUUGCCACAAACUACAAAUGAAGCUAUGUUCUUGCCUCGUCAAGUUGCUGACUCCAUACCUUUUUCAUCUAAGAAGCUACCCGAAAUUUUGAACCGGCUUUCAGUGAAGGAAAAAUCUGCAGAAGCUGAGCUGAUGAAGAAGGAGAUAGAAAAGUGUGAGGAGCCUGCCAUGGAUGGAGAAUCUAGGUUCUGUGCAACAUCAUUAGAGUCCCUAAUCGAUUUUAGCACUUCAAAGCUCGGAAGAAAUGUGAAUGUGCUGACGAAUGAGGUUAGAAUGGGAAGCCAAGAGUUUGAAUUUGGAGUGAGAAUGAAGAAGGUUGCAGACAAAUCAGUGGUGUGCCAUAAGAUGAACUACCCAUAUGCUGUUUUCUACUGCCAUACAUUCGCUAAGACACGGACUUACAUGAUUCCAUUGGUGGGUGAUGAUGGAAGCAAAGCUAAAGCCAUGGCAGCUUGUCACAGUGAUACGUCAGCUUGGCACCCACAGCAUGUGGCCUUCCAAGUGCUCAAAAUUAAGCCAGGAACGGUCCCUAUCUGUCAUUUCCUUCACAACAAUGCCAUGGUCUGGAUUCCAAAGUAAGGGAUAAGCUGAAAGCCUCAAGCCCAGUUGCAUUAUCAGUUCCAUCUUAAAGCUGUUUGUAGUAUGAAUGGUUAAAAACUUAGAAUAAAUGCAGGUUUGAGGAUUAAUGCAUGUAUUGUGCAAUUGAUGCUAUUUAUUCAUUAAUGUGUCAAUAUUUAUUGAUUUUUUAGGUUACUGAUAUUUUGUGUCAAUAUUUAUUGAUAUAUCUCAUAUAAAUCCAUAAAAUCGAAAUACCUAUACAUUAAUUCGUGAUUACUUAUAUUUUUAUCCCUACUUUACACUCAUCAAAUCCUACCUAUGCCCUCACCUUUGGCUUUCAUUUGCAUUCCUCCUUCAACUAAAGUUUGUAAAGAGAGAAGAGAUGUGCAGUCAUUGCUAACUAUUUGGACAUGACAAAAAAUCUUAAGAGGAGUGCAAAGAUGUUUUCUCAAAGGAGUGCUUAUAUAUAUAAAUAAAGAGUAUUAAAUAUAGAAGAGGUUGACGGAAACAGAGUGCAAAGACGCUUUCUCAAAGUAGUGUUUUUUUUUUUAAAAAAAAGAAUAUUAAAUAUAGAUGAACGAGGUUGGGAGAAAAAAAUGUGCAAAGAUGCUUUCUCCAAGUGUUGGCUUGAUAUAUUUUUUUCUUUUUUCUUUUUAUUUUUAAAUAAUAUCAAUCAUUAAAAAAAAAAAAAGGGAAACUCUUAUAUUAAAGGUAGAAUUUUAUUUUUUUCUUAUCAAAACUUCUAUUUUUACUUAUUAAAUGCAUCACAUGAGUGUUUAUUAUUUUGAUAUAUCUAGAAAUGAAAAAUCUAUUCCCGUCACAUAAGAGAUUUUGUACAUAUAUAACAUGAUAUGCGAUAAGAACAAACAAAAACUACUUCAUUGAUUUUGAAUAAGAACAAACAAAAAUUACUUAAUUGACUUUUUCUUUUGAGUAGAAAAUAUAAGAAUCUGAAUAUAGAGCCAACCACAUAAGAGGACAGUAAAGUCUUGAAUAGAAAUUGAUGUUACAAAGGGAUUAAGGGUUUUUGAGAGAGGACAUGGGGUUGGGAAAACUACUUGAUCCACAUGGUAGUCUAAGGGAGUUUGAGGUAAACAAUAUAUUUAACUUGACCCUUAAUCUCUGUACUUGUAUAAAAUGUUCUUUACUUUGUAUAGUAGCUUGGAUCGAUUUAUAUGGUCAAUAGUAGGUUGGGUUAUCAUCUAUAGAACCAAUAAUCUUUCUAAUCAUCAAACAAUUAAAAACCAAAAGUGAUUAUGGAGCUCAAUCAAAUAAAGAUAUAGAAAUUAAGAUUUUAACUAAAACUAGUCAAAUGAAAAGAAAAUCUCUAGAAAAAUUCUCAAAUCAGUUUGAGGAACCACACAAACAUGUUAGAUUUUAAUCUUAACAAGGUGGUUUAAAGUUAAUACAAGUCUAAAUCUAAUCAAAUGAUAGAUUUAGAUUUGGAAAUACUUGAAUUUGGCAUUUUAGGUUCAAAUCUCAGAGUCAAUAUAUUAGAUUAUUCCAAUUUUUUGUAGUUUCUCGAUUCAUUGAUUAUGCACUGAUUUAUCUUCUAAGAUUCAUUUUAAUCUUAUAUGCAACUAAUCAAAUGAGGUCUCCAUUAUUGAUUAAUAGAUGAUCAAAUAUCAUUGGAACUAAAUAAGCAAUGUCUUUCCCUUAAUUAUCUACGCAGAGAGUUCAAUCCAAAAAAAAUUACAAAUUUAAAUAAGUUUUUUCUCGCAUAUCAUAUUUGGUUGGCAAGAAAUAAGAGAAAGUAAUAGAAAAUAAGAAUUUAAGAGAUAAGUUAAAAUAAUAAUUUUUUUUUCCUCACAUAUCACAUAUAGCACUGGAAGUAUUAUUUCCUUUGUCUUUUUGUUGUGAUGAAACCCUUGACAAACAUUGUCAUAUCAUAUCCCAAGUUUGCAAGAAUAUUUUUUCACUCUCCUAGUGUUGGUGGAACUUAAUUAUUUAGACACGCAUGUCUUAUAUAGUAACUCUUAAUAUUUUAAUAUACAAAGGAAAUGAUUAAGAGCUACUAUAUACAAGAUAUGCAUAUCUAAAUAAUUAAGUUCCAUUGACACUAGGAGAGUGAAAAAAUCUUACAAAUAAAACAAAAGAAGAAAACAUGAUGUGCUUAUAGUAUUGGGAAAUGAUAUGACAAUGUUUAUCAUGAGUUCCAUCAUAGCAAAAAAAAUAAAGGAAAUAGUUCUUCCACUACUAUAUAAGAUAUGUAUGUCUAACUAAUUACAUCCCACCAUACUAGAUAAGUGAAAAAAUAUUGCAAACAAAACAAAAGAAGUAAAUUAACAUGAUAUAUAUGCUUGUAGCUACCAAUGAUGUCAAACUAAUCCUAUCUAUGUGGUUCACAUUGACCUUGAGAUUUAACCAUUUGAAGGUACAUAGUGAAGCUUGACAAAUUGCACACAAUAUACCUAUCUUGAGCCUUGAUUUAUCCAAAGGCCUAUAGUAGGCCUAAUCAUCUUCAACCUUCACACACCCAUCACAUGGUCAUUUUUCAACCAUCAUUUUCCUAGGGAGUAACAUUACUACAUACCUAAUGAUCAAUCACUUCGUUAACUCAUAAGGUUCCUAUGAUUUGAACCUAUAUGACCUGAUUAGUUUGACACCAUUUGUUUUAAUUUUAAAGCUUUAUUACAUCUAGGUAGUUUUAUUAAGUCAUAUAUUGUGGUUUUCCUAUAAAAAUUUCAUCUCUUCUUGUAUGACAUUUGAUCACUCUUCUUUUUUUCAUAUGAUAAUACCUUUUGGUAAGUUUUUGGCUCUCUUCUUAGUGAUCAUCGCAUACUAAAUAAGGGAGUAUCUUCUAGAAUCUAUCUAGCUAUCGGAUCUUCUUAACUAAGAUUCUCACCAAGUUGCUCAUCUUCAUCUAUGAGCUCAUCAUCCAUUAGAGGGACAUCAUUAUGAUUGUCCUAUACAUCUCUCUUAUCAUCAAGACACAGUAUUGAUGGAUGAACUAUACUUGGGUCAACUAGUUCAUCAUCAAUAGAUUUUGGUUUUUCUAACUUACCAAAUUUUGAAAUGAUUUGAUCAUCAAGAAAUUCAAAAUCUCUAUUUUUGGUGAUUUUCUAGUGGACCAAGUCUUAGAAUCUAUACCCAAAUUCUUCAUGAUUAUACUAGACAAAAAUACACUGCUUUGACUUCCAACAAAUACCUUGCAACCAAAAAAAAAAAAAAAAAAAUUCAGAUAAUCAUAAGCAACAUCUUUUGCUAUCCAAAAUCUUUCAAGCACGUCACCAUUCAAAGGAAUUGAGGGAGAAAGAUUUAUUAAGAGAUACCACCUAUUCUACUUACCAUUGUUACCUAAAUCCUCCAUUUAAUUAGCUAAAUAAAAUCCAUAAAUAUCUAAACUCUCCAAUACCAUUUAUUGGGAAAACUAGUUAUUUCAAAAUAAUUCAAAUACAAAAACAAAUCUAAGCAAAACAAAUAAAUGAUUUUUCCCUUUUCAUGUAAACAAAUAUGUAAAUCUAGCUAUAUCAAGUGAAUAAAACGGGUAAGAUAAAUUAACAUAAUUCACAAAAAUCAAGAUACAAAUUUUACAAGGAAAACCCUUCGAUGUGAAGGGAAAAAUCAUGAGUUGUGGUCAACUUAAAACUUUUACAAAUAAAAAAUUAAUAAGCUACAUCAAGUUCUUCUCUAGAAAUUACAUCAUUUUAUUUAACAUAGAGAAUAUGAUAUUUUAUACAUAUAAAUUACACGGAGGACAACCCUCGACAUCCUUUGUGUAACACAAUAAGACUGAUUCAAGUUCAUAAUAUGAUAUUUUAUACAUUAUUUUUAUAAAUAUUUGAAAAUAAUAUUUGAGAAAUUAAAAGGAUAUUAUUUUCAGUGCAAUCCCAAAUCUAAUGCCUCUCCACAACUUCAUCAACAAAGCUUAGAAAUACCCACAAACAUGUCAAAUCUCUCAUAAAAAAAAAGCAAAAAAAUACAAAUAGAGUUUUUCUAGAAAUAUCCAAAGAGUCGUCCUCCUUAACCGUCCUUCCCUCCUCCCUUUCUUUGGUUGCAAGAUGGUCCCUUUAUCCCCAAAUCAGGUUCACCAACUUUCUGCUCAUGCUCAUGCCUUGCCUCCAACUAAUGCUACACCUCUAUUCCCGCUCUUAGCAACCAAAAAAAAAAAAAAAAAAAAAGCCACAAUCAUGUAUUAGCAAAAAGGGUCAGGCCCAAUACAAGAUUUAAUAAAUACAUCAACCCAAAUCUAACUAAUAUAAUAGGCCCAAAUUUCAAUCACCAAUAACAUAUGAGCCCAAAAUCCAUAUCAAUUAGGCCCUAAUCUCAUAACAUCAAGCCAAAGACAAAAAUAAAAAUAAAAACAAAUGAGAAAAUUAAAAUAAAAUGAAAUAAUAAAAAAAAAAAAUAAGUAAAUGAAAUCUUACCUAUCUCCUAACCCACGAAUAGAGAUGCAACAAUUGAUGGUCAUGGGGAGUGACAAUGAAGACAGAGGCACGCUUGUGGCAGUGCAUAAAAGAAAAUAAAAGAAGAAGAAAAAACAAAGAUAAAUAUAAAUAAAUAAAAUAAAAUAAUAAAAUAAAAACUUAAAAGAGAUAAAAAUAGGGAAUAUAUAGUCGGAGAGUGAGGGGGAUGACGAUUGGAAGUGGUGCGAAUAGUAGCACCGCCGAUGACAACUUGGCGGUGGUGGAGUCGAUGAAGAAAUGAAGAAAGAAGAAAUGGAAAGAAAAAAAAAAGGAAAAGAAAAAGAAAGGAAAAUAAGAGAAGAAGAAUGAGAAAGGAUGGAGGCUGUGAGGGGGCGGUAGAAUGGGGAAAAAUGGGCUUUUAGGGUUUGACUUUUGAAAUAGUUGGUGGAGAUUAAAAAGGAAAAAAAAUGGUUAGGAUUAGUUCUCACAUUUGGGUAUGGAAAGUUGGGCCUAGGUUGGACCUAGGUUGGGCUAAAAUUAAAAUGGAAUGAGCCCAAAUAAAUACAAUCAAAAUAAGCCCUAUAAAUAAAUAAUAAAUAAAUAAAUAAUAGCAAAAAUAAAAUAAGUCAUCAAAAACUAGAAAAACAAACAACUUAAAUUUUGAAAGUAAAUUAUUUUUAUCAAAAAACCAAAAAAACAAAUGUCACCUUAGUGUAAAUUCAAUUUUGUUGAAUUAUAGAGAUGCCUUCAAUGUAAAUUCAAUUUUUUUCCACGUGACUAAUAUGAAAAUUGUUGAAGAUGUCUCUUCAAGAGACACCUUUAGUAUAAAUUUGAUUUUAUGACAUUAUGUUAAAUUUUACAUAUAUUUGAUGACUAAGAUAUAAAUUUAAUAAAAUUGGGGGAAAAUAGCCAUUAAAGAAUUAUUUGAAAUAGAUUUUUUUUUUCAAAUUUUUUUAUUAAAUAAAAUGUUAUUGAAAUCAUUGGAAAAAUACUUUUCAUUUAUAUCAAAUAUUAUUAUUAUUUUUGAAUACUAUAAUAUUGUAUGAAAAUGAUGUACUCCAAUAGCCAAAUGUGGUGUGUUGAAAGUCCAAUGUGAUGCCUUAAUAUAUUUUUCUUCUUCUGGUCAAGAUUUUAUCCUUCUACUUGUCAAGUUUCAAUUCUUUUCAAACAACUUUCUUCUUUCCCCUCGAUAUAUAAGAAUGUAAUAUAAUGGAGGAUUGAGAGGUAUAAAGGAAGAAAUCCCCACAUUUAUAAAGUGUAUAAAUCUUCAAGAAUAUAGUAAUCAAAGUAAUGAUGAAAAGUUGUAAUAAAACGUUCUUAUUCUUUUUACCAUUGAUAUUACAUACAUAAUUUUUACUCUCUUUAACGAAACCUUAAACUAUAAGAAGAUAGAAAUACACUAAGGAUAAAUUCGUCAUUAAAAUUUUUUAUGAAAAGACAUCUCGAACUAUGGAAAGUGACCAUCUCCUUCCUUACAUUUAUUUUCAUGUCCUAUUUAUUUUAUUUACAAGCUUGUUAGUUGAAAAUUAGUUGUAAAAAUUAUAUUAAUUCUUUUUAAAAAUUUUUAACUCAGCUUAAUAAAAAAUAUACUAUAAUUUAUAAUAAAAUUAAAGAUUAAAUCAAGAAAAGAAAUGUUAAUAAAAAUGAUUUUAUGUUUGAUUUAUUUUAAAAAAAUAUAAAAUAUAUUUUUAUUUUAAAAUUAAUAAAAUAAAUAUUUUUUUUUUAAUUUAAAUGAACUGUGUAUUUAAAAAUUAUUUAUAAAUUUAUAAUAUAAAGUUACUUGAAGAAAACAUUUUAUUAAUUGGAAAAGAAAAAAACAACAUCUUCCAAACAUGUUUUUUAUUUUACUUGUUUUAAAAAACUUUUUUUAUUAACUCAACCAAACAUGUUUUUUUUUUUUUUUGAGAACAAAAAUUGUUUUUCAAAAUUCAAUUCCCAAACACAAUUUUUUUUUCUUCUAAAAACACCAAAAAAUGUUCUUGAAAAUUGUUUUCCAAAACAGUUUUAAAAAACAACAACCGAACAGAUCCUUAAUUUCAAUAAUUUAAGAAAGAAGAAAGAGUUUGCGGGUGGGGGUGUGGUGGUUGGGUGGAGCUCACUUUUGUGCAAACACAAAAAGCAGCUAAAAAAAAAAAACAAGAAAAAUAAUUUAUUCUUUGAAUAGUGAAAAAACACUGAAAACAUGUUUUUUGUUUUUAAGAACAGAAAAUAGUUCUUGAAAACAGAAACCAAAUAUGCCAAAAUUAUCUUAGGUUUUCUUGAAAGAGUGAGAGUACAACAAUUAAAAUGGAUAAAAAGAAAUAAGAGGGAAAAAAUGCUUUUGAAGGAAAAUAAAAUAGAAGGGUAAACUUUUUCAAAUGUAAUCAAAAUUAAUGAAAUCUAUCAGGAGUAUAAGAAUUAUGGAGAGAGAGAAAGGGAAAACAUAUAUAAAUUUGUAUUAAGAAUUUAAGAGUGAAGAGAAGGUGGGGACAAUGGAGACGGAAAGAUGGACAAAUCAAGAAUUUGUAACCAAUUUUACUUAUCCAUAAAUUGAGAAUGACAUAUUCCCAUUUGGUGUGUGUUCAUAUAUGGAUUUUAUAUCCUUUUGGGUGUACCCCACUUCUACAUCAAACCCAGGCUUGUUUGCUCGUAUAUAUGUAUAUCUUUUUUGGAAUCAAAUAUAGCCACAUAGCCUUAAGAUAUUUAUUUUUAAUUAUUAAUUAAUUAAUUAAUUAUUCUAGAAAAUAAGUGACGGUGCCUUUCAUGUCAUCCAUUAUUGUGAUCACAAUUUUCCUUGCAUCUUCAACAAAUAUUUUUUUAAUCAAAAUAUUUGUAAACAUGUUAGUAAUGAAUUACUUAAAAAUAAAUAAAUAUUGUAAUAAUUAUUUAAAAAUUAUAAUUAUUUUUUGUGUUUAGAGUAUUUAAAAAAAUAAUUUUUUAUAUUUGAUUUUUAAAUAAAAUAAAUAAAUUAUCCUAGAUUUUUUUUAUUUUAAUUGUUUUUUCAAAGUAAAUAGACUAGGAAUGAAUCAUUGAACCCAAUUAUUGGUGCCGAUCAAUUCAUCAAUAAUGAGUGCCAGCAUGACCAUGAAAUAAAUUCUUGGCAUCGCCUGAUACAGACAAUCUUUGUUUUGCUUAUCACUUUUGCUAGCUAGCUUUUGUCCAUUCUUAUUUUGUCUUUUUUUUUUCCUAAUUAAAUUAAAUUGUGAAUAAUAAUAAAAAGAUUUUAAAAAUUAUUUAUUAAAUUAAGAAUUAUUUAGUAAAUUAUAUACAUAUGUGUGGAAUCCAAAAAUAUAUUAUUAUCAUUUUUAUACAAAUAGACACUUUAUAAAACAUAAAUUGAUUGCUGUGUUGCAGUGGAGCUUGAGGGUCAACAUGAUAGGUGAUAAAAUUUUAGAAUAUGAUAUUUGAAGUUAUUUUUAAUAUUUUUAAAAUGAUAAUUUCAAUUUAGAGAAAAAAGAUAAUUUUCAUAUUUAAAUUGAAAAUAUUUAUUUAAAAGAUAAUUUUCAAUUAAUAUUAUAAAAAUUAAAUUUGAAAAUAGUUAUAAAAGCAUCAUACCUUAAUAAUAUUUUUAAAAUUACUGUAAUUUUUUUUUUCUUUCAAAAAAUCUCCAUUUUACUUCAACAAAGAUCUUAUCGUGAUCGUUGUAGAUAACUCUCACGUGGCGAUAAUUCAUGGGCAUGGGCUUGCAGGCUGCGGCGGCACUUGGUGAUAAUUUAAGGAAAAGUUUAAUUAAUUGUAAAGGUCGCCCAUUCAGUCACUCUUUACGUAAAAGGCAAUGAUUGAGCCAAAAUAAUAAAAUAAGGCAUUUAUCACCACGCCAAUUUUUUUUUUUUAAUACUUUUUUCUUCUUUAUGGUAUUAAAUAUGAUCAUAAGAAAUAAAUUAUCAGUGCCGCCGACUGCAGAUAAUCUUCUCAAUUUUCUUAAAGCUAUGUUUAAAAAAUUAUAGAAGGAAAGAGUAAGUGAAAAAAAUAAAAAUAAUAAAAUUUAAAUUAAUAAAUUAUUUUUAUAUGUGUCUUUAAAUUAAUUUAAUUUAUUAUUAUUUAUUAUAUAAAUAUUAAAUAAUUUUAAAAUAAAUAAUUUUUUAAUUAAUUUUAAUUAUAUUUGAUUUUUUUUAUAUAAUUUUUUAUAAUGAAAUCAAAACCCUUUCUUUUAGUAUUUAUUUAUUUUUUCCUAAAAGUACCACCCAAAUAAAAAUGAUAACAUGAUCAAGGUGAAGAUUUCUCUUCCUCUACACUUGCUCGUUCUCACCAAAAUAGUACCAGUUCAAGCCCAAAUACAACUCCGAUAAUGUCGUCUCUGAAUCAAGCAUUCAUCAUCAGGCUUGAUCACUCAAAUUGUCUUCUAUUGUGUACUCAAAUGCUGAAUAUUGUAAUCGUUAAUGGACUCAAGGAGAUGGUCGAUGGUUCACAACCUUCUCCUCCAAUUUUUCUUGAGAAUUCUGAAAGUACAAACCCAGAUUUUUAGAUCUGGCAACGACAUUGUCGUUUUGUCAUGUGUUGGAUUUAUUCAUCUCUCGUUGAGAAUGUAAUGUCGCAAAUCAUCGAUCUCACUUCCGCUUCUGAAAUCUGGAGUACUCUUGAAAAAUUCUUCUUUUACUGCAUUAAUUGUAUUUAAUAUCUUAUUUAUAUUUUAUUUUUUAAAUUUAUUGUAUUUAAAUUUAUUUUUUUUAUUUUUAUUUUCAUAUUUUUUUCUUAUUUAAUUUUUUUAUUUGUAUUUUGUUUAAUUUUUAAAUCAAUUUAUUUUUUUAUUUUUUAAUUAAUUAAUUAUUCUUGAAAAUAAGUGAUAGUGCCCUUCAUGUUACCCAUUAUUGUGAUUACAAGUUCUCGUGUCCUCAACCAAUAUUUUUUUAAUCAAAAUAUUUGUAAAAAUAUUAGUAAUGAAUUACUUAAAAAAUUAAAUAUUAUAAUAAUUAUUUAACUAUAUUUAUAUAUAUAUAUAUAUAUAUAUAUAUAUAUAUAUUUAUAUUUUUUCAUUUUUUCCUUUUUUUAUUUACUUUUCCUCCGUAUUUGAAAUAGUGUAUAAAAAAUGAAGUAUUCAAUUUUUUUUUUUACUAUUUUAAGUUUUAAAAUUUUAAAAUCAAUUUUAAAUAUUUAAAAUAUAUAAUGUAUACUUUUUGUAUAAAAAGUUUUAAUUUUUAUGCAAAAUUUGAUUAAUUUAAAAAAAAACAAAAAUAGGAAAUAUAUUCUAGGACACUUAUUUUGUUAAUUUUUAAAUAAAAAUAUAAACAUGGAAUUAUCGUCUAUAGAUUUUGUUAAUUUUAAUUUUUUUUUUCAAAGUAAAUAGAAUAGAAAUGAUUCAUUGAACCUACUAUUGGUGCCCAUCAUUCCAUCAAUGCCAGAGUGGCCAUGAAAUAAAGUCUUGGUGCCGCCGACACAAACAAUAAUUUAAUUUGUUAGGUUUUUGUCAAUUUUCAUGGUCACUUUUGCUAGUUUUCAUUUUGUCUUAUUUUCUUAAUUAAAUUAAACUGUGAAUAAUAAUUAAAAUAUUUGAAGAAUUAUUUAUUAAAUUUUAUGUAUAUUUGAUGAUUAAGAUAGAAAUUUAAUACAGUGAAAAAUAAGCAUUAAAGAAUUAUUUGAAAAAUAUUUUUUUCAAUUUUUUUAUUGAAUAAAAUGUUAUCAAAACCACUGCAAAAAAUGCUUUUCAUUUGUAUCAAAUAUUAAUUAAUUUUUUAAUAUGAUAAUAUUAUAUGAAAAUGUCAUACUCUAAUAUUCUAAUCAAGAUUUUAUCUUGUUUGGUCAAGCUUCACUUCUUUUCCAAUACUCCAAUACUCUUGAGCUAAUCAGGCGCUUAGGGGAGAGGACGACCCUCUACAUCCUUUGUGCAACAUACAUUAUUUUUAUAAAUAUUUGAAGAUAAUAUUUAAUAAAUUAUAUACAUAUAAAAACAUAUUAUUUUCAUUCUUAAACGAAAACAUAAAUUGACUGCUUUGUUGUUUUUAUUCGUGAAAGUAAGAGCAGUCAAGCAGUGGUUGUUGUCGUUGAGGGGUCACAUGAUUGGCGAUAAAAUUGUUUAUGUCCCUUCUCUUAAUGCCACUCACCCUCAUUGCCAAAAUAGUCCCACUAACCUCUAUAAAUAGCAAGAAGCUCGGUUCAGUUCUUUCCAUCCAAGCAUACCUUCUCAUAGCUUAGCUUUCUGUUUAAGUUUCUCAGCUGUAAUGGAGUUUCGUUCCUUUCCCUUUCUGGCUUUUCUUUCUGUGAGUCCAGAUUAAUUCUUCAUUUUUUCACAAAAAUGUUUUGGGAACAAGUCAUAAUUUUUCUGUUUAAAAAACAAAAACCUGUUCUUGAGAAGAGAUCUUUAGGACACUCAUGUGCUAGUUUAAUUAUCUUCUUGUAAUGGAACUUGGUGGCAUGCAUGCAGGUGAUGGUGGUAGUAAUCCAUGCUUCUCAACCUGAUGAGGAUUACUGGAAGUUGGCUUUGCCUCACACUCCCAUGCCUAAAGCUAUACGAGAUCUGUUGCAGUCCAGUUAGUUUCAUUAAAUCUCUACCCUACUUUCUGCAACAUCUUUUACUGAUUCUUAUGGUCUCCUAUCAUAGAAUUAAACUGCAGGGAAACUGUCAUAUAUAUCAUCAAGAUUGUUCUUCAUAACCAUUAAUUUGCUUUAUUUCUUGAAAAAUAUUUGUCUAGAUUAACAUUUCUAACUUUUCUUUGUAAUUGCUGAACUUGCAAAUUCAACAGAAGGUCUAAGUUCUGUCGAUGCUUCUACUGCAUCUUGUACUGUUCACAUUCAUUUCGAUAAAUUCUCUCAACCCGCCGGAGAAGAGGCUCAAGUAGAUGACUCAAAAAUAGGUAACUUCUUCUUGGAAACAGACCUGCAUCCAGGUAAAAAAAUGAAGCUGAACUUGGCCACAACUACAAAUGGAGCUGUUUUCUUGCCUCAUCAAGUUGCUGAAUCCAUGCCCUUUUCAUCCAACAAGCUACCCGAAAUCUUGAACCGGUUUUCCCUGAAAGAAAACUCCGCAGAAGCCGAGAUAAUAAAGAAGGAGCUAGAGGAAUGUGAGGAGCCUGCCAUGGAAGGAGAAGCCAGGUACUGUGCAACAUCAUUACAGUCCCUAAUCCAUUUCAGCACUUCAAAGCUUGGAAGGAAUGUGAAUGUGCUGACGAAUGAGGUCAAAACGGGGAGCCAGGAGUAUGAGUUUGGAGUGGGGAUGAAGAGGGUUGCAGACAAAUCAGUAGUGUGCCAUAAGAUGAACUACCCAUAUGCUGUUUUCUACUGCCAUACAUUCACUAAGACACGGACUUACAUGAUUCCGUUGGUGGGUGCUGAUGGAAGCAAAGCUAAAGCCAUGGCAGCUUGUCAUAGUGAUACAUCAGCUUGGCACCCAAAACAUGUGGCCUUCAAAGUGCUCAAUGUUAAGCCAGGAACAGUCCCUAUCUGCCAUUUCGUUCACAACAAUGCCAUGGUCUGGAUUCCAAAAUAGC